ACUCCUACGGGAGGCAGCAGUGGGGAAUAUUGGGCAAUGGAGGAAACUCUGACCCAGCGACGCCGCGUGAGGGAUGAAGGCCUUCGGGUUGUAAACCUCUUUCAGUAGGGAAGAAGCGAAAGUGACGGUACCUACAGAAGAAGCGCCGGCUAACUAUGUGCCAGCAGCCGCGGUAAUAC
rnacentral:rRNA from 1 species